GGAAAGCUCAGUGGUACAGCAUCUGUUUUGCAUACAGAAGGUUGCAGGUUCAAUCUCCUGCAUCUCCA
rnacentral:tRNA from 1 species